rnacentral:rRNA from 1 species
UACGUAGGGUGCGAGCGUUAAUCGGAAUUACUGGGCGUAAAGCGUGCGCAGGCGGUUCGUUGUGUCGGUGGAGAAAUCCCCGGGCUUAACCUGGGAAUGGCCAUGGAAACUGGCGAACUGGAGUGUGGCAGAGGGGGGUGGAAUUCCGCGUGUAGCAGUGAAAUGCGUAGAGAUGCGGAGGAACACCGAUGGCGAAGGCAGCCCCCUGGGCUAGCACUGACGCUCAGGCACGAAAGCGUGGGGAGCAAACAGG